rnacentral:rRNA from 1 species
UACGUAGGGUCCGAGCGUUGUCCGGAAUUACUGGGCGUAAAGCGCACGUAGGCGGCUUUCUAAGUCGGGGGUGAAAUCCUGGAGCUCAACUCCAGAACUGCCUUCGAUACUGGAGAGCUCGAGUCCGGGAGAGGUGAGUGGAACUGCGAGUGUAGAGGUGAAAUUCGUAGAUAUUCGCAAGAACACCAGUGGCGAAGGCGGCUCACUGGCCCGGUACUGACGCUGAGGUGCGAAAGCGUGGGGAGCAAACAGG